AGCAGCCGCGGUAAUUCCAGCUCCAAUAGCGUAUAUUAAAGUUGUUGCAGUUAAAAAGCUCGUAGUUGAAUUUCGGGAUCGAAUUGUUGGUCGUGCUUCGGUACGCACUGGCAUUAUUGGUUCCUACCUUCUGAAGAACCGCGAUGUCAUUAAUUUGGUGUCGUGGGGAAUCAGGACUGUUACUUUGAAAAAAUUAGAGUGUUUAAAGCAGGCUUACGCUUGAAUACAUUAGCAUGGAAUAAUGAAAUAGGACGUUUGAUUCUAUUUUGUUGGUUUCUAGGAUCGACGUAAUGAUUAAUAGGGAUAGUUGGGGGCAUUAGUAUUCAAUUGUCAGAGGUGAAAUUCUUGGAUUUAUUGAAGACUAACUACUGCGAAAGCAUUUGCCAAGGAUGUUUUCAUUAAUCAAGAACGAAAGUUAGGGGAUCGAAGACGAUCAGAUACCGUCGUAGUCUUAACCAUAAACUAUGCCGACUAGGGAUCGGAUGAUGUUAAUUUUUUAAUGACUC
rnacentral:rRNA from 1 species